rnacentral:lncRNA from 1 species
CGGUGAUGGUCAGUCCUCCAGUGGUCACUCUGGUGAUGGUCAGUCCAGUGGUCACUCUGGUGAUGGUCAGUCCAGUGGUCACUCUGGUGGGGGUUAAUCCACCAGUGGUCACUCUGGUGGUGGUCAGUCCACCAGUGGUCACUGCAGUGGUCACUGCAGUGGUCACUAGUGGCCACUCCAGUGGUCACUCUGGUGGUGGUCACUUAAGUGGUCACUUCACCGGUGGUCACUGCAGUGGUCACUCUAGUGGUCACCCUAGUGGUCAUUCCAGUGGUGGUCAGUCCACUGGUGGUCACUCUAGUGGUCACUGUGGUGGUCACUCCACCGGUGGCCACUGCAGUGGUCACUCCAGUGGUGGUCAGUCCACUAGUGGCCACUCCUGUGAUCACUUUGGUGGUGGUCACUCUAGUGGUCACUCUGGUGGUCACUCUAGUGGUGGUCACUCCGGUGGUCACUCCGGUGGUCACUCUGGUGGUCACUCUGGUGGUGGUCACUCCGGUGGUCACUCCAGUGGUCACUCUGGUGGUGGUCAGUCCCCGCCGGACGCGGGGGGUGGUGGGAAAUAAACGCCGGCCUGAGCCCGGCUACGGCCACUGGGUGGUCAGUGGUCAUUCAAGGGGUCACUGGGUGGUCAGUGGUCACUCAAGGGGUCACUGGGUGGUCAGUGGUCAUUCAAGGGGUGGUCAGUGGUCACUCAAGGGGUCACUGGGUGGUCAGUGGUCACUCAAGGGGUCA